CUUUAAGAAAAAGCCAUCGUGCACAAUCCACAUAUAAGGAGUGGAAAGUUCUGCUCCACCUUCUUAAAGUUCUUGAAACAGCAAGACCAACUCUUCCUCUUCCUCCUUCUCCUCAGCCUACUCAACCAAAAGAUGAUGAAGAUGAAGACCUUUGUGAUGAAUCACUUCCAUUUGUGAACAGUAAAUAUAUUUUCUCUUUCUUAUGAUUUCUUUUAUAGCAUUUUCUUUUCUCUAGCUUACUGUAUUGCAAGAAUAGCAUAUAAUUUAUAUAAAAUACAAAGUAUGUGUUAACAAACUGUUUAUUUUAUUGGUAAAACUCCUGGUCAACAGUAAGCUAUUAGUAGUCAAGUUUUGGGGGAGUCAAAAUUUAUAUGUGGAGUUUUGACUGUGUGGGGAGUUGGUAGUUCUAAGCUCCACGUUGUUUAAAGAUCAACU
rnacentral:lncRNA from 13 species